rnacentral:rRNA from 1 species
UACGAAGGGGGCUAGCGUUGUUCGGAAUUACUGGGCGUAAAGCGUGCGCAGGCGGCUUCUCAAGUCAGGGGUGAAAGCCCAGAGCUCAACUCUGGAAUUGCCUUUGAGACUGAGUGGCUUGAGUACGAAGAGAGGUGAGUGGAAUUCCCAGUGUAGAGGUGAAAUUCGUAGAUAUUGGGAAGAACACCGGUGGCGAAGGCGGC